AGAGUUUGAUUCUGGCUCAGGAUGAACGCUGGCGGCGUGCUUAACACAUGCAAGUCGAACGGAGUAUGUUAACCGAGACUUUCGGGUCUCACCUGAUAUACUUAGUGGCGGACGGGUGAGUAACGCGUGAGCAACCAACCUUAUGCAGAGGGAUAACAAUUAGAAAUGAUUGCUAAUACCUCAUAAGACCACGCUAUCGCAUGGUAAAGUGGGAAAAAACUCCGGUGGCAUAAGACGGGCUCGCGUUCGAUUAGCUAGAUGGUGGGGUAACGGCCUACCAUGGCGACGAUCGAUAGCCGGACUGAGAGGUCGACCGGCCACAUUGGGACUGAGACACGGCCCAGACUCCUACGGGAGGCAGCAGUGGGGAAUAUUGCACAAUGGGGGAAACCCUGAUGCAAGCGACGCCGCGUGAGUGAAGAAGUAUUUCGGUAUGUAAAGCUCUUUUAGCAGGGAAGAUGAUGACGGUACCUGCAGAAAAAGCCCCGGCUAAAUACGUGCCAGCCGCUGC
rnacentral:rRNA from 1 species